GCUGCUCCUAGUACGAGAGGACCGGAGUGGACGCAUCACUGGUGUUCGGGUUGUCAUGCCAAUGGCACUGCCCGGUAGCUAAAUGCGGAAGAGAUAAGUGCUGAAAGCAUCUAAGCACGAAACUUGCCCCGAGAUGAGUUCUCCCUGACCCUUUAAGGGUCCUGAAGGAACGUUGAAGACGACGACGUUGAUAGGCCGGGUGUGUAAGCGCAGCGAUGCGUUGAGCUAACCGGUACUAAUGAACCGUGAGGCUUAACCUUACAACGCCGAAGGUGUUU
rnacentral:rRNA from 1 species